rnacentral:lncRNA from 10 species
GUGCGUGGCGUGGAGUCCAGAAUGAGAAGAAGGAAAGCGGGGCCGGUUCCUUCAGGACCCGCCUCAGGGGGCACCGCGGCGGCUUGGGGACCACUUGGAGCCCCGUCCUGGGGAGAAAACAGCUCACGUCUAUGGCCCUGACUGCUUAGGCGGGAGCUGCGUGCAGCUCAGCUUCUCCGGGGCAUUUUUUUCUACACGGUUAUUGCUCUGUCACCCAGGCUGGAGUUCAGCAGUGCGAUCUUGGCUCAUUGCAGCCUUGAACCUCCCGGGCUCAAGUGAUCCUCCCUCCUCAACCUCCCAAGUAGCUGGGACUACAGCUGGGUGAGCUAUGAACAGGCCAACUGCAAGGGCGAGCAGUUUGUGUUUGAGAAGGGCGAGUACGCCCACUGGGACUGGUGGACCAGCAGCCAGAGGACAGACUCAGCAGCCUGAGGCCCAUCAAAGUGGACAGCCAAGAGCACAAGAUCAUCCUCUAUGAAAACCCCAACUUCACCGGGAAGAAGAUGGAAAUCAUAGAUGACGAUGUACCCAGCUUCCACGCCCAUGGCUACCAGGAGAAGGUGUCAUCUGUGUGGGUGCGGAGUGGCAUGUGGGUUGGCUACUAGUACCCUGGCUACCGUGGGCUGCAGUACCUGCUGGAGAAGGGAGACUACAAGGACAGCAGCGACUUUGGGGCCCGUCACCCUCAGGGACAUGGAUGAAGCUGGAAACCAUCAUUCUCAGCAAACUAACACAGAAGCAGAAAACCAAACACCACAUGUUCUCACUCAUAAGUGGGAGUUGAACAGUGAGAACACAUGGACACAAGGAGGGGAACAUCACACACCGAGGCCUGUCAGGGAGUGGGGGACAAGAGGGAGAGAGAGCAUUGGGACAAAUACCAAAUGCAUGCACGGCUUAAAACCUAGAUGACAGGUUGAUGGGUGCAGCAAACCACCAUGGCACAUGUAUACCUGUGUAACAAACCUGCACGUUCUGCACAUGUAUCCCAGAACUUAUAAUAAAAAAGAAACCAGUAAGUGCUCAAUAAAUGUUACUAACAUCUAUUUCUUCAUUCAUUCUUCAACCAUUACCCACUGAGUGCCUAUUUGGAUACUUGGCUUAGUACCUGGGUGAUGAAAUAAUCUACAGCAAACCCCCAUGGCAUGAGUUUAUAACAAACCUGCACAUGUAUCCCCGAACUUAAAAGUUAAAAAAACAGAAUCUGCACAAGUCUAAGCUACUUCCUUGAGGAAAAGACUCGAGCUGAGAUCUCAAAGAAGAGUAGAAGUUGCAGGGGUAAAGAGGCCAAAGAAGAGUGUCUCAGAUGAGAGCGGCACGUGCAAAGGCCCUGUGGUGGGAGGAGCCUGGUAGCUCUGAGAAACUCCACAAAGGCACGGUGGUGGCUGGAAUGCAGAGAUGUGGGGGCACAUUGAAAACCUUGUUAAAGUGCUUAAAAUGAUUAUCAUAAAGGUAGAAACUAAUAAGUGCUAAAUAAAUGUUAUUCUCGUCCGUUUCUCCA